CCCUGGUGACUCAAGUCAGUAAAGAAUCUGCCUGUAAUGCAGGAGACCCAGGUUCGAUCCCUGGACUGGGAA
rnacentral:tRNA from 1 species